rnacentral:tRNA from 1 species
GCAGUGGUGAUUCAGCGGUAGAAUUCUUGCCUUCCAUGUGGGAGACCCAGGUUAGAUUCCUGGCCAGCA